rnacentral:rRNA from 1 species
UAUNGGACAAGGGGCGCAAGCCUGAUCCAGCNAUGCCGCGUGAGUGAUGAAGGCCUUAGGGAUGUAAAGCCCUUUUGUCCGGGACGAUAAUGACGGUACCGGAAGAAUAAGCCCCGGCUAACUUCGUGCCAGCAGCCGCGGUAAUACGAAGGGGGCUAGCGUUGCUCGGAAUCACUGGGCGUAAAGGGCGCGUAGGCGGCCGAUUAAGUCGGGGGUGAAAGCCUGUGGCUCAACCACAGAAUUGCCGUCGAUACUGGUUGGCUUGAGACCGGAAGAGGACAGCGGAACUGCGAGUGUAGAGGUGAAAUUCGUAGAUAUUCGCAAGAACACCAGUGGCGAAGGCGGCUGUCUGGUCCGGUUCUGACGCUGAGGCGCGAAAGCGUGGGGAGCAAACAGG